GGAAGGGUUAUGUAUGAAGCUGGACGUUGGUGGUCUGCUGGGUCAAGAGUAGAUUCAGAAUCAGAAUUGUUAGGGGUAUGAUGUUUUAUGUGAAGGAGAAAGAUCUGAUGGCUAGAGCAGGACUAAGAGAGAGGAUUGGGACUGAAGAGUGAAAAAGGCCUGGAUGUAGGGAAUCUCUGACCAUUUUCC